rnacentral:rRNA from 1 species
CGUGUGGUUCUAUUUUGUUGGUUUCUAGGACCGCCGUAAUGAUUAAUAGGGAUAGUCGGGGGCAUCAGUAUUCAAUUGUCAGAGGUGAAAUUCUUGGAUUUAUUGAAGACUAACUACUGCGAAAGCAUUUGCCAAGGAUGUUUUCAUUAAUCAGUGAGCGAAAGUUAGGGGAUCGAAGACGAUCAGAUACCGUCGUAGUCUUAACCAUAAACUAUGCCGACUAGGGAUCGGACGGUGUUAUUAUUUUGACCCGUUCGGCACCUUACGAGAAAUCAAAGUUUUUGGGUUCUGGGGGGAGUAUGGUCGCAAGGCUGAAACUUAAAGAAAUUGACGGAAGGGCGCCACCAGGCGUGGAGCCUCGGCUUAAUUUGACUCAACACGG